GAUGAACGCUGGCGGCGUGCCUAAUACAUGCAAGUCGAACGGAGCGGGGGCGGGUGAGUAACACGUGUAUAACCUCCUAUAAGACUGGGAUCACUUCGGAAAACCGGAGCUAAACCGUAUACGUAUAGUUGUAUCUGCUCUUCAUUGGCUUGUUGGUAAGGUAACGGCUUACCAAGGCAACGAUGCAUAGCCGACCUGAGAGGGUGAGGGGUAACAGGGGAACUGAGACACGGUCCAGAAGUGUAAGGGAGGCAGCAGUAGGGAAUCUUCCGGAAUGGGCGAAAGGCUGACUGGGCAACUCCGCGUAAGUGUUGAAGGUCUUCGGAUCGUAGAACUCUGUUAUUAGGGAAGCGGUACCUAAUCAGAAAGCCACGGCUAACUCCGUGCCAGCAGCCGCGGUAAUAC
rnacentral:rRNA from 1 species